AGGAUGAACGCUGGCGGCGUGCUUAACACAUGCAAGUCAAGGGGGCCCAGCAAUGGGCAACCGGCGAACGGGUGCGUAACACGUGAGCAACCUACCGAAUUGUGGGGGAUAGCCGGCCCAACGGCCGGGUAAUACCGCAUACGCUCGAGACCAGGCAUUUGGACUCGAGGAAUUUACGGAGCAAUUCGAGGGGCUCGCGGCCUAUCAGCUAGUUGGUGAGGUAACGGCUCACCAAGGCGACGACGGGUA
rnacentral:rRNA from 1 species